UCUCAAAAUGGCCAAAUGUCUUUCCUCUCAACAGGCAAGCUCCAUUCGAAUUAUGUUAGGGGUUCUUUCGCUUUUGCCAGAUCUGGAGAGAUACUACAAGUCCUCCGUCCCAGAUUCCAUCGCCGCGGCCAUCUGGUUCACCGGUAUAGCCUUCCCAACAUCAAAUUCCCCAAACUCAUAUUUAGAUUUUUACCAAAACUUCACACAACCCUCAAUUCAGCGAUGGUAGCUGCGAGUGCAACCCCAAUCAAGGGCGCCGGAGGCAGGCAAGGCGGCAAGAGGAAGAAAUCAUACCGAAAUCCGUCAAGGUGACGCUCCAAUUCCGGGUUGUGCGCUUCGCUCGUUUUCUGAAGAAGGGGCGCUACGCCCAGGCCCAGCGUAUGGGCACCGGAGCGCCCAUCUAUAUGGCUUCUGUGCUCGAGUACCUUGCCGCUGAGGUGUUGGAAUUGCCGCUGAGGUGUUGUGUUCAUUCAAGGGUUUUGGGCUUCUUUUGGUUAUGAAAUUCUAGCAUGUGCUUGCCUUUCCUGCUUUCGUCUAGAUUUUUUAACAUAGCUUGAAUUGGUUAGCUUCUGCAAAUGCACACAACUCACUGCUAUCUGUUGCUUGUUAAUUGUACCUUGCUUAAUUUGUUAUCCGAUCCAUUAUUGAUGAGUUUUUAGUGCCCUUAAGCAAUUAAUCCUAGGAAGCUCAACGCUCACUCUGGUGUUGUGUACCCUACAAAUGAAGAAUGUAAAAGAAGUCUGCGAGGUUGCAUAUCUUAGAGUUGGAGGUUAUCCUAUGUUUAACCAAACCUUGAGAUGCAUAUAUUUUCAAGCUAACACAUGCAUACCAGUUUUACAGAGUGGAUAAAAUGCUUUUUUAAUGUGAAAAUGACUUUUUAACAAAUUUUCUCCAACAGAUGAGGACUAAAAUGUGAGAAUAAAUUAAGUAUAAUUGAUUAUUUCAUGUUAUAUUGAGAUCAUACUGAAUGAUACUACUUUUUGCAGGGAGAUUUACAGCUCUCAUAUGUUAGAGUCAGCUAGGCCUAUAAUUGAGUGCUUGUUUGUAAGUUAGCCUUUGAUUAAGUUUAUAGAGCAACUUGUAGAUGAAGAUGGCUCAGUAAAAAAUUCUGCGGUUGGUCAAUCAUUGCAUUUAUCUUUACCAUUUUGGUUUCAUCUAGUUCACCCUCUAGUUGAUCAUAGAGUUCUCCCAUUUCAGAGUUCAAACUUGCGGCAUUCACGUGAUCGAGUGCGGCUUCUUGAGAGAAAGGUAAAGUCGUGUAUCCUAAGCUGUGAUAACAUUUAAAGUUGAUGGAAUAUGUUGAGGAUACCGGGCUUGGGCUACAUUUGAUUGGUUCUAUCGAUGCGCAUAUGAAGCUGGCAAGGCCUAUUUGAGGAAAUAUGUAAUAUUGAUGGAAGAUGGUGCAUAAGCUCGGUUGCUGCAAGGAGUCCAAGUAUUCAGGGAUUAUUGCUGUGGUGCAGGUGCAGGAAACCUCGUGGAGCCACUCUCUGCUGUUCCUCUAAAUGAUGAGCUGCAGCAAGCAAGAGAAUCUGUUGCAAAGGCAGAGCAGGAGGUUCUCCUAAAGAUAACAAAGAAGAUGCAAAUAGAUUUGAAU